rnacentral:rRNA from 1 species
CCUACGGGCGGCAGCAGUGGGGAAUAUUGCACAAUGGGCGGAAGCCUGAUGCAGCAACGCCGCGUGAGUGAUGAAGGCCUUCGGGAUGUAAAGCUCUAUCAGCAAGGAAGAAAAUGACGGUACCUGAGUAGGAAGCCCCGGCUAACUACGUGCCAGCAGCCGCGGUAAUACGUAGGGGGCAAGCGUUAUCCGGAAUUACUGGGCGGAAAGGGAGCGUAGACGGUUUUUUAAGUCAGAAGUGAAAGGCCAAGGCUCAACCAUGGGAAUGCCUUUGAAACUGGGGAACUGGAGUGCAGGAGAGGUGAGUGGAAUUCCUAGUGUAGCGGUGAAAUGCGUAGAUAUUAGGAGGAACACCAGUGGCGAAGGCGGCUCACUGGACUGUAACUGACGCUGAGGCUCGAAGGCGUGGGGAGCAAACAGGAUUAGAUACCCUGGUAGUC